rnacentral:lncRNA from 1 species
GAGAUCACCAUGGUAACUUUCAAGCAACUCACUGUACUUUAAUGUCAGACUAACUGAGUUUCUAAUUCAGUGACGAAAGAUUUUUGGGUACAAUUAAGUACUUAUCAAGUCAGUGCGUGAGUCAAGAUGAAAUUGAACCCUCCGAAUUAGUAGGAGUUAAUGUAUCAAUAUAUUUCAAUUUAGCAAAAUCUAAGUCUAAAUAAUCCAUAUGAUGGACUUUAAAAA